AAAUUGCAUAUGGAAAUGGGUGCUUUACCUUGAGUGGGUAAAGCUUAAAAGGGAAGCCGGUGCAAGUCCGGCGCGGUCCUCGCCACUGUAACGGGUAGGGACUCCACAUAAUGUCACUGGGAAAUACUCCUGGGAAGACGUGGAGUACCGAUGAUCCAAAGUCAGGAGACCUGCCCAUUUUAAAUUACCACA
rnacentral:ncRNA from 2 species